rnacentral:rRNA from 1 species
GACGAACGCUGGCGGCGUGCUUAACACAUGCAAGUGGGGCGACGAACCAGGCUUCGGCCUGGGGCAAAGCCGCGAACGGGUGAGGAACACGUGGGUAACCUGCCCCGAAGACCGGGACAACCCGGGGAAACCCGGGCUAAUACCGGAUGUGGUCACCGUCCAUAAGGACAGUGAGCAAAGGAAGCUUCGGCCUCCGCUUCGGGAUGGGCCCGCGGCCCAUUAGCUUGUUGGUGAGGUAACGGCUCACCAAGGCUUCGAUGGGUAGCUGGUCUGAGAGGACGAUCAGCCACACUGGGACUGAGACACGGCCCAGACUCCUACGGGAGGCAGCAGUGGGGAAUCUUGCGCAAUGCACGACAGUGUGACGCAGCAACGCCGCGUGGGGGAAGAAGGCCUUCGGGUCGUAAACCCCUUUCAGGAGGGACGAAGCUCCGGUCGCGAAUAGCGGUCCGGAGUGACGGUACCUCCAUAAGAAGCCCCGGCUAACUUCGUGCCAGCCGCCGCAGUAAAAC